rnacentral:rRNA from 1 species
UACGAACUGUGCGAACGUUAUUCGGAAUCACUGGGCUUAAAGGGUGCGUAGGCGGUUUGUUAAGUCAGGUGUGAAAUCCCCCGGCUCAACCGGGGAACAGCGCUUGAAACUAGCAGACUGGAGUGAGGCAGGGGUGUGCGGAACUUCCAGUGGAGCGGUGAAAUGUGUAGAUAUUGGAAGGAACGCCGGCGGCGAAAGCGGCACACUGGGCCUUGUCUGACGCUGAGGAACGAAAGCCAGGGGAGUGAACGGG